UACGAGGGGGGCGAGCGUUGUUCGGAAUUAUUGGGCGUAAAGGGUGCGUAGGCGGUUUGGUAAGUCUUGUGUGAAAUCUUCGGGCUCAACUCGAAGUCUGCACGAGAAACUGCCGGGCUUGAGUAUGGGAGAGGUGAGUGGAAUUCCCGGUGUAGUGGUGGAAUGCGUAGAUAUCGGGAGGAACACCAGUGGCGAAGGCGGUUGCCUGGAGCUUUGCUGACGCUGAUGCGCGAAAGCGUGGGGAGCGAUCCGG
rnacentral:rRNA from 1 species